rnacentral:rRNA from 1 species
GCGUGUGCGAUGAAGGCCUUCGGGUUGUAAAGCACUUUUUGAGGGGAUGAGGAAGGACAGUACCCUCAGAAUAAGUCUCGGCUAACUACGUGCCAGCAGCCGCGGUAACACGUAGGAGACUAGCGUUAUUCGGAUUUACUGGGCGUAAAGCGCGUGCAGGCGGUUCGGUAAGUUGGAUGUGAAAGCUCCCGGCUUAACUGGGAGAGGUCGUUCAAAACUGCCGGACUAGAGAGUGGUAGAGGGAGGUGGAAUUCCGGGUGUAGUGGUAAAAUGCGU